AUUGAACGCUGGCGGCAGGCCUAACACAUGCAAGUCGAACGAGUGGCGGACGGGUGAGUAAUGUCUGGGAAACUGCCCGAUGGAGGGGGAUAACUAAUGGAAACGGUAGCUAAUACCGCAUACUACCAGAUGAGCCUAGGUCGGAUUAGCUAGUUGGUGGGGUAAGGGCAUACCAAGGCGACGAUCCGGAACUGGUCUGAGAGGAUGAUCAGUUAAACGUGAACUGAGACACGGUCCAGACGCCUCCGGGAGGCAGCAGUGGGGAAUAUUGCACAAUGGGCUGAAGCCUGAUGAAGCCAUGCCGCGUGUAUGAAGAAGGCCUUCGGGUUGUAAAGUACUUUCAGCGGGGAGGCGUUACCCGCAGAAGAAGCACCGGCUAACUCCGUGCCAGCAGCCGCGGUAAUAC
rnacentral:rRNA from 1 species